rnacentral:rRNA from 1 species
UACGUAGGGUGCAAGCGUUAAUCGGAAUACUGGGCGUAAGGCGUGCGCAGGCGGUUAUGUAAGACAGUUGUGAAAUCCCCCGGGCUCAACCUGGGAACUGCAUCUGUGACUGCAUAGCUAGAGUACGGUAGAGGGGGGAUGGAAUUCCGCGUGUAGCAGUGAAAUGCGUAGAUAUGCGGAGGAACACCGAUGGCGAAGGCGGCAUCCUGGACCAACACUGACACUGAGGAGCGAAAGCCAGGGGAGCAAACGGG